rnacentral:rRNA from 1 species
AGUGAACGCUGGCGGUAGGCCUAACACAUGCAAGUCGAACGGCAGCACAGUAAGAGCUUGCUCUUACGGGUGGCGAGUGGCGGACGGGUGAGGAAUACAUCGGAAUCUACUUUUUCGUGGGGGAUAACGUAGGGAAACUUACGCUAAUACCGCAUACGACCUACGGGUGAAAGCAGGGGAUCUUCGGACCUUGCGCGAUUGAAUGAGCCGAUGUCGGAUUAGCUAGUUGGCGGGGUAAAGGCCCACCAAGGCGACGAUCCGUAGCUGGUCUGAGAGGAUGAACAGGCACACUGGAAACGAGACACGGUCCCGGAUCCUACGGGAGGCCGGAAUUGGGAAUAUUGGACAAUGGGCGCAAGCCUGAUCCAGCCAUACCGCGUGGGUGAAGAAGGCCUUCGGGUUGUAAAGCCCUUUUGUUGGGAAAGAAAAGCAGCAGGUUAAUACCCCGCUGUUCUGACGGUACCCAAAGAAUAAGCACCGGCUAACUUCGUG